CUCAGAUGCAUGCAAUGCAUGUCAGUCUCAAAACACUGACUGGUGGAGCGUUUUGACCCUGAAUGAACCUAAUAACUUACACCAAGAGUGAUGCUUAAUGACCGUAAGGCUCUUCAAAAUCGGCGAAUCAUGCAUUGUGGUUGAAAAAUCACUGGCAUGCUGCCUUUUAGCAACAAUUAUCUCCUAAUGUGAAUCACACUGAAGAGCUGCACUCAUUAUUAUCAGCCCAUCUUAUCUAGAAAUCAUUUGGUGAGUGUUCAGGAAAUGGUUCAAUUUUCGAAAACAGCACACCAGCACGUUUGCACAAAACAUCCAAUGUUAGAGACAGACAUGAACUGACUUAAGUAUGUCUGAACAUGCAAGAUACUGCUUAGCCUUCUUCUUUAUCUUCACCAUCGGUUGUUUGUUGGUGGCGCAGGUAAAGGCACAAGACUCUUCCAGUGAUGAACCAGAAAUCAAGUAUGCUGUCAUAGGAGCAGGAAUUGGCCUUUUCCUUUCCAUCUGCUUUCUGCUAAUCAAACUCUACAUCAUCAGAAAGCAGGCGCUUGAGAAUGAACAGGAGAGAUCAGAAACAUCACUGAGAAGAGCAUCUGCACGGGAUCACUGAUGUGGAGAGCAGGCGGGAAUGAAAUGUCUUCUGAGGAUGAUUUCAUGCAAACUUUUACAUCAUUUUAUGACUGUUUUAUACAGUUUUAUUUAUUAAGUAGGGGCCAGUUUAGGCCUGUAAAACAAUUCAGCAGAUCAGUGCCAUUGCUAUGUCACGAGGCCUUUUUGUGCUUUUUGAGCCAUAAUGUGAGUACAAUAUAUUUACAAUAACUGUAACGGAGAAUUUUUUUGUAUGAAGAACACCCAUGAUUUAAGCCAGCUUGUCUUUUCAUUUGGGUUUUUCCUUCUUUUAUUCAUCUGUAAUUCAUCUGUGAUAAUGAAAUAUACAUUUAUAUGUGUGAUCAAACAUGACUGUUUAUUUGUAAUUGCUAAGUAAAUAAAAAAUUUACAGCUUUAAGUACA
ensembl:lncRNA